GUUAACUCAAGGGAGCUGAAGCUCCAAUACUUUGGCCACCUGAUGUGAAGAGCCGACUCAAUGGAAAAGACCCUGUUGCUAAGGAAGAUUGGAGGCAGGAGAAGGGGGCGACAGAGGAUUAGAUGGUUGAAUGGUAUCAUCAACUCAAUAGACAUGAGUUUGAGCAAACUCCUGGAAAUAUUGAAGGACAGGCAUUGAAACCACUCACACAAAGAUUCAGUUUGAAACUUGUUUUAAGGAACCCCUGCCUCCUUACAUCUGGAUAUGCAGGACCACCAGCAAUGGCGGCGCAGUGGUAAAGAAUCUGCAGGCCUAGGCAGGAGGCACAAGAGAGGAGGGGUCGAUCCCUGGGUUGGGAAAAUGCCCUGGAGGAAGAAAUGGCAACCUACUCCAGUAUUCUUGCUGGGACAGUCCCAUGAACAGAGGAGCCUGGCGGGCAAUAGUCCAUAGCGUCUCAAAAAGUCUGACAUGACUGAACACGCGGGUACGUACAUAUACUCUCUUCUGAUCUCCC
ensembl:lncRNA